rnacentral:rRNA from 1 species
GAUGAACGCUGGCGGCGUGCCUAAUACAUGCAAGUCGAGCGAACGGACUAGAAGCUUGCUUCUCUGAUGUUAGCGGCGGACGGGUGAGUAACACGUGGAUAACCUACCUAUAAGACUGGGAUAACUUCGGGAAACCGUAGCUAAUACCGGAUAAUAUUUUGAACCGCAUGGUUCAAAAGUGAAAGACGGUCUUGCUGUCACUUAUAGAUGGAUCCGCGCUGCAUUAGCUAGUUGGUAAGGUAACGGCUUACCAAGGCAACGAUGCAUAGCCGACCUGAGAGGGUGAUCGGCCACACUGGAACUGAGACACGGUCCAGACUCCUACGGGAGGCAGCAGUAGGGAAUCUUCCGCAAUGGGCGAAAGCCUGACGGAGCAACGCCGCGUGAGUGAUGAAGGUCUUCGGAUCGUAAAACUCUGUUAUUAGGGAAGAACAUAUGUGUAAGUAACUGUGCACAUCUUGACGGUACCUAUUCAGAAAGCCACGGCUAACUACGUG